AAACGCUGAAAGCAUCUAAGCGUGAAGCCAUCCUUAAGAUGAGAUCUCUCACAGAGUAAUCUGGUAAGACACCUUAAAGAAGAUGAGGUAGAUAGGCCGGGAGUGUAAGUGCAGCAAUGUAUUGAGCUGACUGGUACUAAUAUGUCGAGGGCUUGACUUC
rnacentral:rRNA from 1 species